UUCUUACAAAUAUUUUUCCUCAGUUAUUGUAAAUGCUGGUCUCUGCAGCUUUCUGAAGCAGAUCAAAAUAAAUGCAAAGGUAACAUUUUAAUCUCUUUGCAGGAAACGCAGACCUCAAUAACGGCCGGUACCAGGUUCCCUUCUCCGCUUCCACGGUUCACAGGCUUGCUCAGAAUUAAGCAGGGAGCAGUUUGGCACUUAAGCAGUUCUUGACCUGAAGAACAAAACAAUAAGGGAGGUCAAAGUUUACGAAAUGAAGGGGCUCGCUACUGACACACCAUUAAAGCUGCAUCAAGGCAUAAGCAUUAAGGACUUUGGAGUAAUGUAGAAGUUAAAGACAAUUUAUCGCCUCGCUUGGGG
rnacentral:lncRNA from 1 species